AAAAUCUAAACCUAAUUGAUUAGGUAAGUGGCCUAGAUAAAGCUAUAAUUAUGGAUGUAGCUGAAUUUAUAUUAACUUAAGUUGUGUAUUUUAAAAAGGUUGAAAGUAUGAACCAGACAUGAGACUUUGUCGAGAGACAGGUUGUGCUCGCAUAACGUAAGUUGAACGUGUGGAAAACUUGCUAAGGUUCUUUUUAGAUUGUGAGAUUCGCUGUUAUCGCGGUGGCCUGGAGUCAUAUCAGGAAAACGGCCAGUUUGGUGUUGAUAAGCGGGAGGCUUGAAGUUGUUGCGGGUCGUUGUUACCCAACCAUCUUCAGUUAGAGUCCAGUGAUCAGCUUAGGGGUUGUUGUUGGGGUCUCUUUUACUCUUCCUCAUUGUUUUCUCUGUAACUUGUAUAUGGUAAACCCUGCUUAUUUAUUUGUUGAAAUAAAUAUUGUCAUUAUGUUCUUCUAGACAA